UAAUACGGAGGGUGCGAGCGUUAAUCGGAAUUACUGGGCGUAAAGGGUGCGUAGGUGGUUUAAUAAGUUAGUUGUGAAAGCCCUGGGCUCAACCUGGGAAGGUCAACUAAGACUGUUAGACUUGAGUAUGGGAGAGGGUAGUGGAAUUUCCGGUGUAGCGGUGAAAUGCGUAGAGAUCGGAAGGAACACCAGUGGCGAAGGCGGCUACCUGGCCUAAUACUGACACUGAGGCACGAAAGCGUGGGGAGCAAACAGG
rnacentral:rRNA from 1 species